GAUGAACGCUGGCGGCGUGCUUAACACAUGCAAGUCGAGCGAUGAAGUUUCCUUCGGGAAACGGAUUAGCGGCGGACGGGUGAGUAACACGUGGGUAACCUGCCUCAUAGAGUGGAAUAGCUUUCCGAAAGGAAGAUUAAUACCGCAUAACGUUGAAAGAUGGCAUCAUCAUUCAACCAAAGGAGCAAUCCGCUAUGAGAUGGACCCGCGGCGCAUUAGCUAGUUGGUGGGGUAACGGCCUACCAAGGCGACGAUGCGUAGCCGACCUGAGAGGGUGAUCGGCCACAUUGGGACUGAGACACGGCCCAGACUCCUACGGGAGGCAGCAGUGGGGAAUAUUGCACAAUGGGGGAAACCCUGAUGCAGCAACGCCGCGUGAGUGAUGAAGGUUUUCGGAUCGUAAAGCUCUGUCUUUGGGGAAGAUAAUGACGGUACCCAAGGAGGAAGCCACGGCUAACUACGUGCCAGCAGCCGCGGUAAUACGUAGGUGGCGAGCGUUAUCCGGAUUUACUGGGCGUAAAGGGAGCGUAGGCGGAUGAUUAAGUGGGAUGUGAAAUACCCGGGCUCAACUUGGGUGCUGCAUUCCAAACUGGUUAUCUAGAGUGCAGGAGAGGAGAGUGGAAUUCCUAGUGUAGCGGUGAAAUGCGUAGAGAUUAGGAAGAACACCAGUGGCGAAGGCGACUCUCUGGACUGUAACUGACGCUGAGGCUCGAAAGCGUGGGGAGCANACAGG
rnacentral:rRNA from 1 species